AGAGUUUGAUCCUGGCUCAGGAUGAACGCUGGCGGCGUGCUUAACACAUGCAAGUCGAACGAAGCGGUUUAGCGGAAGUUUUCGGAUGGAAGUUAAACUGACUGAGUGGCGGACGGGUGAGUAACGCGUGGGUAACCUGCCUCACACAGGGGGACAACAGCUAGAAAUGGCUGCUAAUACCGCAUAAGCGCACAGAGCCGCAUGGCUCAGUGUGAAAAACUCCGGUGGUGUGAGAUGGACCCGCGUUGGAUUAGCCAGUUGGCAGGGUAACGGCCUACCAAAGCGACGAUCCAUAGCCGGCCUGAGAGGGUGGACGGCCACAUUGGGACUGAGACACGGCCCAGACUCCUACGGGAGGCAGCAGUGGGGAAUAUUGCACAAUGGGGGAAACCCUGAUGCAGCGACGCCGCGUGAAGGAAGAAGUAUCUCGGUAUGUAAACUUCUAUCAGCAGGGAAGAAAAUGACGGUACCUGACUAAGAAGCCCCGGCUAACUACGUGCCAGCAGCCGCGGUAAUACGUAGGGGGCAAGCGUUAUCCGGAUUUACUGGGUGUAAAGGGAGCGUAGACGGAGCAGCAAGUCUGAUGUGAAAGGCGGGGGCUCAACCCCCGGACUGCAUUGGAAACUGUUGAUCUUGAGUACCGGAGAGGUAAGCGGAAUUCCUAGUGUAGCGGUGAAAUGCGUAGAUAUUAGGAGGAACACCAGUGGCGAAGGCGGCUUACUGGAUGGUAACUGACGUUGAGGCUCGAAAGCGUGGGGAGCAAACAGAAGUAGAUACCCUGGUAGUCCACGCCGUAAACG
rnacentral:rRNA from 1 species